rnacentral:tRNA from 1 species
GGGAAUGUAGCUCAGCUAGAGUGCUUGCCUCACAUGCAUGAGGCCCUGGGUUCAAUUUCUCAGCACCA